UACAGAGGGGGCAAGCGUUGUUCGGAAUUACUGGGCGUAAAGGGCGCGUAGGCGGCCCGCUAAGUCGAACGUGAAAUCCCCGAGCUCAACUCGGGAACUGCGUCCGAUACUGGCGGGCUUGAAUCCGGGAGAGGGAUGCGGAAUUCCAGGUGUAGCGGUGAAAUGCGUAGAUAUCUGGAGGAACACCGGUGGCGAAGGCGGCAUCCUGGACCGGCAUUGACGCUGAGGCGCGAAAGCGUGGGGGAGCGAACAGG
rnacentral:rRNA from 1 species